AUGGUGGUUUACACUCCAGAAAAAGGGAAAACUUGGUUUGGGCAACCACCUGGAAGAGGCAGUCACCUCAGGCUGGAUUGCUGCUCUUGGGAGGCAGUGAUUUGCAGCAGGCUCUUAACUCUUGAAACUCUUCCGGGAAGAGGAGGUGGUAGAGACAAACUUGACACUGGAGCUGCUGGAGUAGUAGCUCCCGCUGCCACCUCCUCCAAGACCACCGCCAAGACCACCGCCCAGACCGCCACCGAGGCCACCACCAAAGCCACUGCCUCCACCAAAACCACUGCCGCCGCCGUAGGCAGAGGACAUGCUGUUUGUGAUGACAGCUGCAGAGAAAGGAGGGAGAAGUUGGUGAGACCAGUGUACUAGAUUGAUCUUAUGUGCCCAAGUUAUUUGAUCCCACUAGUGUUAACACUGUACCUGGCCCCUUUCACAGAGUAGCAAAUGAGUCUCAGAACUAAGCUAUUUAUUUAAGGUCCCUAACAGAAAGUUAGUGAGCAUGGAAGGCAAGGGAUGGUGCUAAGUCCUCAGGGGGUAGGGAAAGUGAGGGGAGAGGGCACAGGAUGUAUGGGAUAUUGGGCCUACCCUUUAAGAAAUAAGACAUGAACAUGUUGGUUCAUGUCUCAACCUGUGUUUUUUCCCCUCCACCACCUGCUUCUCUCUAAGUAUAUUAAAUAACCACAUAUUAGGAUGGGAGUUUCCAGUAUCCAGAAACAACGGGAUUCUGAAUUGGCCCCAAAUACCCCAUAUUACCAUCAUUGUUAAUGUCUGCUCAAAGGUACUUACAGAUGUUGACUGGUCCAACUCCUUCUCCACUCAGUCUAAAAGGGGAAAAAAUUAAAGCAAGAGUUAAAAACUCCUCAAAAGACAGUACUAGCCAUGUUUUGAGCUUGUUCUAUAAGCAAGGGGCCUGUAUGCCCCAGAGCUGCUUAAAUUAGAGAAAGAGCCCUCUCCUCUCGAGUGACUUCCCAAUGAAGACAAGUGUCAACCUGUUUGACCUAAAGACAGGUUAUUGAAAGAAGAUUGUAAUUCACAUUCCUCCACCCAUUAUAUGGAAAGCAUGAGUAAGAGGUUGUGGGAACUAUGAAUAUGUAUGAAGCAGUUUGGGCCUGGUAGGAGCUUACAUUCUCUGAGGGAAUUUGGCAUGGACUGACAUACUUCUAACAGGAAGGAUGGGUAGUGGGUAAUGUCAGAAGAUUGCAGAAAAUGAAAUAGUUUAAGAAUCCAAAGGCAAGUGAAUUGAACUUAGCUCGAGUAAUCAUGAAAGGCUUCUUAAAAGAAGGGGUACUUGAAGAAUGUGGAAGACAUUUGUUGAGUUGCUUAGUUGUUUGAAGAAGAGGAAUCUAGGGAUCCCUGGGUGGCGCAGCGGUUUGGCGCCUGCCUUUGGCCCAGGGCGCGAUUCUGGAGACCCGGGAUCGAAUCCCACAUCGGGCUCCUAGUGCGUGGAGCCUACUUCUCCCUCUGCCUGUGUCUCUGCCUCUCUCUCUUUCUCUCUGUGUGACUAUCAUAAAUAAAUAAAAAUUAAAAAAAAAUUAAAAAAAAAAA
rnacentral:lncRNA from 12 species